AUGAACGCUAGCGACAGGCCUAACACAUGCAAGUCAGGGGCAGCACAAGGAGCAAUCUGAGGUGGCGACCGGCGCACGGGUGAGUAACACGUAUGCAACCUGCCUGUAAGCGGGGAAUAACCCGUUGAAAGACGGACUAAUACCGCAUAAUACUAAAUUACUGCAUGGUAAUUUAUUUAAACAUUUAUGGCUUACAGAUGGGCAUGCGCAUGAUUAGCUAGUUGGAGAGGUAACGGCUCCCCAAGGCAACGAUCAUUAGGGGUUCUGAGAGGAAGGUCCCCCACACUGGUACUGAGACACGGACCAGACUCCUACGGGAGGCAGCAGUGAGGAAUAUUGGUCAAUGGACGAGAGUCUGAACCAGCCAAGUCGCGUGCAGGAAGAAUGUCCCUAUGGAUUGUAAACUGCUUUUGCAGGGGAAUAAAGUGCAUCACGUGUGAUGUUUUGUAUGUACUCUUGCGAAUAAGGAUCGGCUAACUCCGUGCCAGCCGCGGC
rnacentral:rRNA from 1 species